UAGUUGAACUAAAAUAUAAGCCUA
rnacentral:siRNA from 1 species